rfam:Felis catus isolate Cinnamon breed Abyssinian chromosome B3, whole genome shotgun sequence.
CAAAUGAUUUUUUUAAAAAUCACAAAAUAAGUACAAAGCCAUCUAAU